rnacentral:rRNA from 1 species
GAACGCGAAGAACCUUACCAGGUCUUGACAUCCCUCUGACCGCUCUAGAGAUAGAGUUUUCCUUCGGGACAGAGGUGACAGGUGGUGCAUGGUCGUCGUCAGCUCGUGUCGUGAGAUGUUGGGUUAAGUCCCGCAACGAGCGCAACCCCUAUUGUUAGUUGCCAUCAUUUAGUUGGGCACUCUAGCGAGACUGCCGGUAAUAAACCGGAGGAAGGUGGGGAUGACGUCAAAUCAUCAUGCCCCUUAUGACCUGGGCUACACACGUGCUACAAUGGCUGGUACAACGAGUCGCAAGCCGGUGACGGCAAGCUAAUCUCUUAAAGCCAGUCUCAGUUCGGAUUGUAGGCUGCAACUCGCCUACAUGAAGUCGGAAUCGCUAGUAAUCGCGGAUCAGCACGCCGCGGUGAAUACGUUCCCGGGUCUUGUACACACC